rnacentral:lncRNA from 1 species
CCUACAUGCACCCCCUGAAAGAAUAUCUAAGUAUUCCAAGUUCUAAAAAAAAAUUAAAAUGUAGAAUUUGGCUGCUGACUUCCUUAAAUGUGAACAAAGCAUAGCGGUACAGCGAAGGAACAAAGUCUAUCUUUGGGACAGGAAGAACACUGGCGAAGAAGAACAGAACGUCAGCAGGAUUCAGUGGAACAUGGGCUCCUGGUGAGGGGACAGUGCAGGAAAAAAGCAAAACUACAUUAGAAGGUUGGCCUCCAAGACUUGAACCCUGGCAUUGCUGGAUGUCCUCUCUAGAGUGGAUUCUAGAACAUCUGCUGUACUUAGCACAGAGAACUGCAGCGUUUGCAUUGUUACAGGGUAGGAGGAAAGAACUUUACAUACGCUAAUGUUCCA